GGCCGUAGCGCGGUGGUCCCACCUGACCCCAUGCCGAACUCAGAAGUGAAACGCCGUAGCGCCGAUGGUAGUGUGGGGUUUCCCCAUGCGAGAGUAGGGAACUGCCAGGC
rnacentral:rRNA from 1 species